rnacentral:lncRNA from 1 species
AAAAAAUCUUCUAGGAGCAGCUAACAAGAAUCCUAAUACAGGAGUGUUUAUGGUUGGGUUGAGACACAUUCAGUAGCUGAGUGAUUGACAGCAAGAGGAGCAAGACAUGAGGUUAAUAAUUAUCAAAUAUAUGGCAAUGCUGGACUUUAGCUGAUCAUCGUGCUUCUGGAAAACAACAAAAAUUGAGAUAUCUGUUCACCACUUUGUGUGUCCAAGGACCACCUACUUUUUACAUGUGACAAGAACUACCCACCUCCACUCUUCAGGAUAGAACAUGCUGAAGAAAAGAGUUGCAAUGAGAAAAUAUAUGGGAACAAAAUACCUAUGCAAUGCAGAAGUCUGCAUAACUGAACCACUCAGAGGAAAAAGAUUGCCAUUUCAGGACACCUCCUACAUCUGAGGAAAUAUGCAUUGAUCUUGCAGUACUUUUCUCCUCCAAAUAAAAGUCAGUAUGAUAACAACUACACUAUCAGAAAUGCUGGCAUGUUAUUGGUGGGAAUGAAAAUAAGUUCAGCCACUGAGGAAAGAAAUUCGGAGAUUGUUCAAAGAACUUAGUAUUACUAUAUGACUCAGCAAUCCAUUACCAGGUAUAUACUCC